rnacentral:tRNA from 1 species
GGGAAGGUGGCUCAAUGGUAGAGCGCUUACCUUGCAUGCAUGAGGCCCUGGGUUCAAUUCCUCACCACCACA